AAUUUUGGACAAUCGGGGAAACCCUGAUCCAGCCAUCCCGCGUGCAUGAUGAAGGCCUUCGGGUUGUAUAGUACUUUUUGCAGAGAUGAAAAGGUACCUCCUAAUAUGAGGUACUGCUGACGGUAUCUGAAGAAUAAGCACCGUCUAACUACGUGCCAGCAGCCGCGGUAAUACGUAGGGUGCAAGCGUUAAUCGGAAUUACUGGGCGUAAAACGUGUGUAGGCGGUUCGGAAAGAAAGAUAUGAAAUACCAGAGCUAAACCUUGGAACUGCAUUUUUAACUGCCGAGCUAGAGUAUGUCAGAGGGGGGUAGAAUACCACGUGUAGCAGUGAAAUGCGUAGAUAUGUGGAGGAAUACCGAUGGCGAAGGCAGCCCCCUGGGAUAAUACUGACGCUCAGACACGAAAGAGUGGGGAGCAAACAG
rnacentral:rRNA from 1 species